GGGAGGGUGAGAAACAGAGAGAGAGAGAGAAAUGAGAGGAGAGGGUGAGAAACAGAGAGAGAGAGGGUGAGAAACAGAGAGAGAGAGGGAGAAACAGAGAGAGAGAGAGAGAGGGUGAGAAACAGAGAGAGAGAGAAACAGAGAGAGAGAGAGGGAGAGAGAAACAGAGAGAGAGGGAGAGGGAGAAACAGAGAGAGAGAGAGGGUGAGAAACAGAGAGAGAGAGGGAGAAACAGAGAGAGAGAGAGAGAGAGAGAGGGAGAGUGAGAAACAGAGAGAGAGAGAGGGUGAGAAACAGAGCGAGAGAGAGAGGGUGAGAAACAGAGAGAGAGGGAGGGUGAAAAACAGAGAGAGAGAGGGAGAAACAGAGAGAGAGAGAGAGGGAGAAACAGAGAGAGAGAGGGAGAAACAGAGAGAGAGAGGGAGAGAGAGAGGGAGAAAGAAACAGAGAGAGAGAGAGAGGGAGAAACAGAGAGAGAGAGAUGGUGAGAAACGGAGAGAGAGGGAGAGUGAGAAACAGAGAGAGAGAGAGGGUGAGCAACAGAGAGAGAGAGAGGGUGAGAAACAGAGAGAGAGGGAGGGUGAGAAACAGAGAGAGAGAGGGAGAAACAGAGAGAGAGAGUGAGAAACAGAGAGAGAGAGGGAGAAACAGAGUGAGAGAGAGGGUGAGAAACAGAGAGUGAGAGAGAGGGUGAGAAACAGAGAGAGCGAGGGAGGGAGAAACAGAGAGAGAGGGAGAGGGUGAGAAACAGAGAGAGAGGGAGGGUGAGAAACAGAGAGGGAGAGAGGGUGAGAAACAGAGAGAGAGGGAGAGAAACAGAGAGAGAGAGUGAGAAACAGAGAGAGAGGGUGAG
ensembl:lncRNA